UACGUAGGGUGCAAGCGUUAAUCGGAAUUACUGGGCGUAAAGCGUGCGCAGGCGGUUAUGCAAGACAGAUGUGAAAUCCCCGGGCUCAACCUGGGAACUGCAUUUGUGACUGCAUGGCUAGAGUACGGUAGAGGGGGAUGGAAUUCCGCGUGUAGCAGUGAAAUGCGUAGAUAUGCGGAGGAACACCGAUGGCGAAGGCAAUCCCCUGGACCUGUACUGACGCUCAUGCACGAAAGCGCGGGGAGCAAACAGG
rnacentral:rRNA from 1 species